CAGCCGCCGCGGUAAUGCGUAGGUCCCGAGCGUUGUCCGGAUUUAUUGGGCGUAAAGCGAGCGCAGGCGGUUAGAUGAGUCUGAAGUUAAAGGCUGUGGCUUAACCAUGGUACGCUUUGGAAACUGUUUAACUUGAGUGCAAGAGGGGAGAGUGGAAUUCCAUGUGUAGCGGUGAAAUGCGUAGAUAUAUGGAGGAACACCGGUGGCGAAAGCGGCUCUCUGGCUUGUAACUGACGCUGAGGCUCGAAAGCGUGGGGAGCAAACAGGAUUAGAUACCCCAGUAGUCCCUGUCUCUUAUACA
rnacentral:rRNA from 1 species